GACGUAGGAUGCGAGCGUUGUCCGGAUUUAUUGGGCGUAAAGGGUUCGUAGGCGGUUUGUUAAGUCUGGUGUUAAAGAUCGGGGCUCAACCCUGGGACUGCACUGGAUACUGGCAGACUGGAGUGCGGUAGAGGUUAGUGGAAUUCCUGGUGUAGCGGUGAAAUGCGUAGAUAUCAGGAAGAACACCAGUGGCGUAGGCGACUAACUGGGCCGUAACUGACGCUGAUGAACGAAAGCCAGGGGAGCAAAUGGG
rnacentral:rRNA from 1 species